AAAGCAAGUGCAAGAAAAAAGAAAAGAAAAAGCAAAGAAGGAAGGAAAGAGAGACCAGAUUGGAAAUCACCAAAAACGGAAAAGAAAGCUAAAAGAAACAGCCCCUAGUGCAAGAAACCGGGCUGUAAACCGUGCUAUCGAAGGGAAAACGAUCAAGCUUUGUUAGAAGUGUCAAGCGUUACAGGUUCCAGGUUAAAGCGUGAGCAAGGAGGUGGAGCUUCACUAGCUUUGGGAUCUUGGAUUCAUUAUGUACCCCUGUAACCGAAGUAAUAUAUUGUGAAUAGCAGUUAGGGUACUCAAAGUUUGUAAUAAAAGGAUGCCCUACAGUUGUACUACAUUAAUAAGUUGUGUCUUUCCAGAGUGUUAAGAGUCUUUUACAUUUCUUGUACCUGGUAAUGAAAUCUAGUGGA